rnacentral:snRNA from 11 species
UAACGUACCUACGACUUCCACUCGGUGAUCAACAAGGCCUGGUGGACGGGAGUUAGUACACACAUAGCACUCCGUUGUCUGCUAACACCCGCGUCACUCUAUCCAGGGUGCCGGGUCGCAUAUUUUUGGUGGUUGGGAGUAGACUCGUCUACUCCCGC